rnacentral:rRNA from 1 species
UGUCGUCAGCUCGUGUUGUGAAAUGUUGGGUUAAGUCCCGCAACGAGCGCAACCCUUAUCCUUUGUUGCCAGCGGUCCGGCCGGGAACUCAAAGGAGACUGCCAGUGAUAAACUGGAGGAAGGUGGGGAUGACGUCAAGUCAUCAUGGCCCUUACGACCAGGGCUACACACGUGCUACAAUGGCGCAUACAAAGAGAAGCGACCUCGCGAGAGCAAGCGGACCUCAUAAAGUGCGUCGUAGUCCGGAUUGGAGUCUGCAACUCGACUCCAUGAAGUCGGAAUCGCUAGUAAUCGUGGAUCAGAAUGCCACGGUGAAUACGUUCCCGGGCCUUGUACACACCGCCCGUCACACCAUGGGAGUGGGUUGCAAAAGAAGUAGGUAGCUUAACCUUCGGGAGGGCGCUUACCACUUUGUGAUUCAUGACUGGGGUGAAGUCGUAACAAGGUAACCGUAGG